GCUGGGCGUGGUGGUGUGCGCCUGUAGUCCCAGGUACUCAGGAGGCUGAGGCAGGGGAAUUGCUUGAACCCGGGAGGCAAAGAUUGCAGUGAGCCGAGAUGGCGCCACCGCAAUCCAGCCUGGGCGACAGAGCAAGACUCUGUCUCCA
ensembl:misc_RNA Metazoa_SRP Metazoan signal recognition particle RNA